rnacentral:lncRNA from 1 species
CAGAUCUGAAGCACUGGGUAUGAAGGCCAAGUAAAAAGCCUUGGUUCUGGGCGGGAUCCGCAGUCACAUUUCUAGAUUACCAGCUCACCCAGGACUUGAGAGACCAAUACCCAGGAGAAAAGGAAACCUCAGAGAGGUCUUAAUUUUCAUCCAGACUGCCUUCAGCCCACUUCUACUGACCACAAGCUUUUGGAUCCUGCCCUGGGUCUCUGAGCACAGCAGAAUACAGGAGAAUCCCUUUCUUCUGGAGACAUGAUGCCUUAUCUUCCCUCCCCAAGGGCCAUCUCCGCUUCAAUUCCACUGCCAGCCACAUCCUUGCUACUGCCCUCUACUUCCUAUUCCAGCCAAACUGUAUUAGUUUUUAAUUUAUUUCACUCAGUUAUUCUUAUUACAGUUUAAAUAUAGAAAAUACAAAAUAUGGAUAUUUAUUUUAUUUCCUAUUAUAAAAGCAUAUCCAUGUUAUCUUUGAUAUUGCUACUUGGUCCACACAGGUGGAUAGGUACUAUAUUUACCAUCUGAUCCUUUAUAGAAAAAGUUAGCUGACCCCUCGUCUAAACUAUGAAGACAGAAACAUCUGUUUUUUUCCUUAUUGUAGUCCCACAACAGGUGCAAAUGUGUCCUAAAUGAAUAUCAUUAAGUGAAUAAAUGAUGGAAAAAUUGU